rnacentral:tRNA from 1 species
UUAUAAAAUUAAAUUUAAUUUUACAAUGAAAAUGUAAUGUUUUUAUUAAACUAUAUAAAUUAGAAAU